UUUAAAACCCAGAAUCGGAGGCUGACCCAAAACGAUUGUGAUUCCCUCACAGAGGAACGCCUCUGGCUUCUGGAUUUAUAAAAAUCUGGGUUGGCCUCUGUGACGGAUCUUGCCGGAUCAAGGAGGGAUGGCGGAGACGAAUGCGAUGUGUUCUUGGCACCCCUGGUGUGGUCUUCUUCUCUGAGAUCCGCCGCUUGCUUCUGCAGUUCCAGGGGUCAAACGCAGGAAGAGGCACAGGAGGAAGCACGUCGAGAACCAGGAGCCCUGCACCAUGAGAGGGGUCUACUUCAAGAACAUGAAGUGGCAGGCGGCGAUCAAGGUCGACAAGAAGCAGAUCCACCUGGGCACCGUCGGAUCGCAGGAGGAGGCCGCCCACUUGUACGACAGGUAUAAGUGAACAGCUCCGAGCUCUCCCCCGCCGAUUUCUGGCCUUCCGGCCGUGGGGAGUCGGCCAGG
rnacentral:lncRNA from 1 species